UCCUCUCACCCAGCGUGGCAACCCUUUCAAACGGGAAGCUCCAGGUCAGUUUCCCUUGCCAAGUUUUGCAGCCUGCCAUGUUGUCUAUUCUGCUCAGCUAUUUAAAAAAUGUUGAAUAUCAACAAUGGCUUUCACUGGUGCAUUGUCAACUUUUGUAUGAAGCAAUCUUGGCUGAAUGAGAUGGGUCCCAGUGCAGGGAGAGCUCAGCUGCAGUGUGCACUACCACACCAGUGACUGCCCGGCUCCCUCGCUCUUUAUAUUUCUCUGCUGCACCAGGAGCUGCUGCCAUGGUGCUGGUGGUGCUCCCAUCUGAAUGUCCGUGGUUGGAGUCUGUGCUGAGGCUCUGGGCUGUGGAUGUCACUGCUAUCUUCCAGUGCAUGGUCCUGCUCUUGGGCCUCCUGACAGCCAGCUGUUGAUGGUGUGUUUAACAGAGGGAUUUGGAAGCAGCAGCAGCAGCAGCAGCAGCAGCUUUGGGACCAGUCAGAGCUUGGUUUUAGUGACAGUCCCUUCUCCUAAUGACCGAACGUAGGCGCCGUCUCUGCCUGAGACAGUAAGAGAUGAUCAUCUGGGCUGCAUCCCCAAAAUGUGGAGGGGUAGCAGGAGUGGGUGCAAGAGGGAGAUGGAUGAUCAGGACUCAGUGGUGCCAGGGGUCCACCUGCAGUAGCUGACGACUCCAGUGACAGCCCAGCAGGGGACAGUAAGGGUGGUGGUCUUCACACCUCUCUGGAAUAAUUAGGAGGCUUGGGAGUUCAGGUAGGGAACAAGGCAGCACAGCAGUAUUACUGAAACAGCCUGGAGACUGAGGAAGAUGAUGAAGAUGCCCAAACAUAAUACAGUAUCUGGAAACCAGGUCUUUUAGGUUCAACACUAUCAUCCG